GGGGUUGUGGCUCAGUGGUAGAGUGCAUGCCUAGCACAUGUGAGGAACUGGGUUCAAUUCCCAACACCA
rnacentral:tRNA from 1 species